CAAAGGACAUCUCGCUUUCCCCCUCCUCACAUAAUUCCCCCCUUACUACCUAGACGGAGAGAGAGUCUGCAAAAUAGAACCCCUGGUGUUAAAAGAGGCGAGGAAGAGAGGAAACAUAGUGGGGUGGUGGGAGGAGGGGGAGGAGGAGGAGGAGGAAUUUGCCAAAGCAGGAGGAGGAAGAGGAGGAGAGAAAGAAAAGAGAGAGGGAGCGAGAAGCCCACACACCACACAAAAGAUUUCGGGGGCCGGGACUGGCGAAAGGAAGCCAGCGCUGUCAGCCUUCUGUCCCCCCACCCCGGCGUGGGAACCACCCCCACCCCCCCAGUGAAGAGGCGCUGCCGAGGGCGCCGCCGCUCUUGGAUCGCUAAGAGUCGGGCGUUCCGGCGUUCCGGCCGCGUCCUUCCUUCCGUUGCCUUGCUUCCCGGUGCAGACAGCAGCAGCAGCAGCAGCAGCAGCGGCGGCAGCAGCAAGCCCAACAAAGGCGCUGAAUCAGUUGGCAGCGAGAGGGCUGGCGAGCACGGCUUAGAGGCUCGGCCGAGGAACCCAAGAUGUCAGUGCGGUGCCGCCAAGGUCCAGGGCUUCGGGAAAGGCGAAUCAGACCGAAGGCGCUUUCGCGCUAGACAGAGGGACGGCGAGGGACAUCGUGUGCGCUUCCGUGGGUUUAUUAAGAGGCUCAGGACUGCCAGACCCGAAGGGCACCUUCCUCCGCUUCCUCUCAAGCAAGCAAACGGAUCAGCCGUGGCCAGGAUCCUCGCAAAAACACCCCCACUCCAGCAAGAGGAACCGGACCGUCCUCCAUCCGUCUCCUUGCAUUUUGAGCGCGCCCACAUUCGAUUUGGACGGAGACCGCCGCGCCUGCCUUUGCUCCUUGGAUGGGGCUCCUUCCGUGGCUGGUGGAGAGAGGCAGGAAGAGAUCGGGGGCUCCCCGUCGGGGACUUCUGGAAGGGGCAAAGGCGGAAGGGCUUCCCGAGCUGCUCUGGAUGGCCAGCUGCAAGGCAGGGAUGCUUCUUUACCGCUGACUCCCGUGUCCCUUCCUCCUGCCCCCCCCCCCGUUGCCUCGCCUGGCACCGUAUUGAUUGA
rnacentral:lncRNA from 1 species